CCUCGGGAGGCAGCAGUGGGGAAUAUUGCACAAUGGGGGAAACCCUGAUGCAGCAACGCCGCGUGAGCGAUGAAGGCCUUCGGGUCGUAAAGCUCUGUCCUAAGGGAAGAAUAAAUGACGGUACCUUAGGAGGAAGCCCCGGCUAACUACGUGCCAGCAGCCGCGGUAAUACGUAGGGGGCAAGCGUUAUCCGGAAUCACUGGGCGUAAAGGGUGCGUAGGCGGCCAAUAAAGUCAGGGGUGAAAGGCUACGGCUUAACCGUAGUAAGCCUUUGAAACUUAUUGGCUUGAGUGCAGGAGAGGAGAGUGGAAUUCCUAGUGUAGCGGUGAAAUGCGUAGAUAUUAGGAGGAACACCAGUGGCGAAGGCGACUCUCUGGACUGUAACUGACGCUGAGGCACGAAAGCGUGGGGAGCGAACAG
rnacentral:rRNA from 1 species